rnacentral:SRP_RNA from 1 species
GCCAGGUGUGGUGGCUCACACCUGUAAUCCCAGCACUUUGGGAGGCCGAGGUGGGUGGAUUGCCUGAGGUCAGGAGUUCAAGACCAGCCUGGCCAACAUGGUGAAACCCCAUCUCUA